GCAUCCGUAGCCCAGUGGUUAGGGUAUCGCCUUCCCAUAAUCAUGAUAGGCGGGGAUCGCGGGUUCGAGUAAGUCGUGUGUC